CCACCCAGUUAUAGAAUUCAGAUUACCAUACCAGACACAUCAUCCCAGGGAAUCUAAAGUGUCAUUUCCUCUCUGGAAGAAAGGAAGCACAAAACAUGCUAGGACAAAAUUGGAGAAACUGAUUAUUUUACCCAGGCUUUGACUGGAAUGGCAUGAUUCCUUUAAAAAAUUCAAGCUUGACUUAUACAGCCAAUUAAGCCCUGUUGGGGAAUCUGGUCUCAUACCUUGUCCACACAGAGUCCUUGUACAAGUUUCCCGACCUGUGAAAGAAGAAAGAGCUUUAACAGACAUUUGAUAAUGAAUUGUUACUUCUUACUCAUGUUUAUAUAUAAACUCUUGACUGUCAAUGCUAUAAAAGACAAUUCAAAAGGAAGAAAUGCAGUUAUAUUGAAACACCAUUCAAAACAUCACAACAAGAAAUGCAGUCUACUAUAAACUGAGUAAAUAGAAAGAUAUACAGUAGUACUGAGGCUACUACCAGGAGAAGGCAAUAUUGGUACUGAACAAAAAAGAGUUUCUUCACACUGAAGUACAGCACAGUUGAGAAGCAUGAAAUAAAGACGUUUUCUAGACUCCAAUUCUAUCAUUUCCAUGAGGUGGGUACUAUCCAGAGUGACUACUAAUAUCACUACAUGAUACAUG
rnacentral:lncRNA from 1 species